GGGAGGUAGUGACAAUAAAUAACAAUACGGGGUCCUUUCGGGUUUCGUAAUUGGAAUGAGUACAAUUUAAAUCUCUUAACGAGGAACAAUUGGAGGGCAAGUCUGGUGCCAGCAGCCGCGGUAAUUCCAGCUCCAAUAGCGUAUAUUAAAGUUGUUGCAGUUAAAAAGCUCGUAGUUGAAUUUCGGGAUCAGUACGUUGGUCGUGCCUUAGGUACGUACUGGUGUUACUGGUUCCUACCUUCUGACGAACCAUCAUGUCAUUCAUUUGGUGUGGCGGGGAAUCAGGACUGUUACUUUGAAAAAUUAGAGUGUUUAAAGCAGGCUCGCGCUUGAAUACAUUAGCAUGGAAUAAUGAAAUAGGACAUUGUAUUCUAUUUUGCUGGUUUCUAGGAUCGAUGUAAUGAUUAAUAGGGAUAGUUGGG
rnacentral:rRNA from 1 species